GCCGCGGUAGUAUAGCCCGGUCAAGUAUGCGGGCCUUUCGAGCACUGCGGGGAUAGCCCGUGACCCGGGUUCAAAUCCCGGCCGCGGCA
rnacentral:tRNA from 1 species